GACGAACGCUGGCGGCGUGCUUAACACAUGCAAGUCGAACGGAAAGGCCCUGCUUUUGUGGGGUGCUCGAGUGGCGAACGGGUGAGUAACACGUGAGUAACCUGCCCUUGACUUUGGGAUAACUUCAGGAAACUGGGGCUAAUACCGGAUAGGAGCUCCUGCUGCAUGGUGGGGGUUGGAAAGUUUCGGGGGUUGGGGAUGGACUCGCGGCUUAUCAGCUUGUUGGUGGGGUAGUGGCUUACCAAGGCUUUGACGGGUAGCCGGCCUGAGAGGGUGACCGGCAAAAUGGGGACGGAGAGAGGGACAAGAAGACGAGGGGAGGAAGAGGGGGGAAGAAUGAAAGAAGGGGCGGAGGCCGGAGGCGGAAACGCGGGGGGGGGGAGGAGGGCUUUGGGGUGGAAAACCGGUUUCGCGGGAAAGGAGGGGAGAGGGACGGGAAUGGGUAAAGAAGCACCGGAUAAAUACGUG
rnacentral:rRNA from 1 species